ACGGAAGGCAGCAGUGAGGAAUAUUGGUCAAUGGGCGGAAGCCUGAACCAGCCAAGUCGCGUGAAGGAAGAAGGUAUUAUGUAUUGUAAACUUCUUUAGCAGCAGAGAAAUAAGGUGGACGUGUCCACUGAUGCUAGUAUGCUGAGAAUAAGCAUCGGCUAACUCCGUGCCAGCAGCCGCGGUAAUACGGAGGAUGCGAGCGUUAUCCGGAUUUAUUGGGUUUAAAGGGUGCGCAGGCGGCUUUUUAAGUCAGUGGUUAAAUCGUGACGCUCAACGUCAUCACGCCAUUGAUACUGGAGAGCUUGAUUGCGGUCGAGGUUUGCGGAAUUCGUUGUGUAGCGGUGAAAUGCAUAGAUAUGACGAAGAACACCGAUUGCGUAGGCAGCAGACCAGGCCGUAAAUGACGCUCAUGCACGAAAGUGCGGGGAUCGAACAGGAUUAGAUACCCUGGUA
rnacentral:rRNA from 1 species